rnacentral:rRNA from 1 species
UACAGAGGUCUCAAGCGUUGUUCGGAUUCAUUGGGCGUAAAGGGUGCGUAGGUGGCGCGGUAAGUCGGGUGUGAAAUUUCGGAGCUUAACUCCGAAACUGCAUUCGAUACUGCCGUGCUUGAGGACUGGAGAGGAGACUGGAAUUUACGGUGUAGCAGUGAAAAUGCGUAGAGAUCAUGAGGAAGACCAGUGGCGAAGGCGGGGUCUCUGGACAGUUCCUGACACUGAGACACGAAGGCCCAGGGGGAGCAAAACGGGG